UAGUUUUUCAUAUUACACUAAGUUGUGCUUUGAAAAUUCUAGGUAAUUUAAAUUCUGUCUUUUCUGAAGUGUACUUAAAAUAUGGUCUGCCCAUGAAGGGCAGGACCUGUGAGGGUACAGAAUAUUCUGGCAAGGUUGCUACUCAGCCAUUGCGCCACACUAUCAUUGAUCUGAUGGACUCGUAGAACUAUUAACAUAUGUAUGUAAGCAGUGGCACUUGGACAUCUUCUUCACCCAGUUUCUCCUUGCAGGUCAUUACUGAACAAAUGUGCUGUGACAGAUGCUGCUUGGGGAGAAAGGCCUGUUUGAUGUGCACCAUGGAGGAUUUGUGUUCCUAUGCUAGGAGACUCUCCUUCUCAGGUAUGAAGCGGAAAUUUACAGAUGUCUACAAAAUAUUGGAGGCAUCUUUUUACAACACAUUGUGAAUUU
rnacentral:lncRNA from 1 species